rnacentral:rRNA from 1 species
GAUGAACGCUGGCGGCGUGCCUAAUACAUGCAAGUCGAGCGAACAGAUGAGGAGCUUGCUCCUCUGACGUUAGCGGCGGACGGGUGAGUAACACGUGGAUAACCUACCUAUAAGACUGGGAUAACUUCGGGAAACCUGAUCUAAUACCGGAUAAUAUAUUGAACCGCAUGGUUCAAUAGUGAAAGACGGUUUUGCUGUCACUUAUAGAUGUAUCCGCGCCGCAUUAGCUAGUUGGUAAGGUAACGGCUUACCAAGGCGACGAUGCGUAGCCGACCUGAGAGGAUGAUCGGCCACACUGGAACUGAGACACGGUCCAGACUCCUACGGGAGGCAGCAGUAGGGAAUAUUGCGCAAUGGGCGAAAGCCUGACGGAGCAACGCCGCGUGAGUGAUGAAGGUCUUCGGAUCGUAAAACUCUGUUAUUAGGGAAGAACAAAAGUGUAAGUAAAUAUGCACGUCUUGACGGUACCUAAUCAGAAAGCCACGGCUAACUACGUG